AAUCAAUGAUGAAACCUAUCCCGAAGCUGAUUGCCUGAAGAAAAGCAUAAACGGAUUCGGCUUCUGAAAU